GAAAUGCGAUAAGUAAUGUGAAUUGCAGAAUUCAGUGAAUCAUCGAAUCUUUGAACGCACCUUGCGCUCCUUGGUAUUCCGAGGAGCAUGCCUGUUUGAGUGUCAUUAUAUUCUCAACUCUCUUGAUUUUUUUUGAAUCGCUUGAGUUGGAUUUGGAGGUUUUUAUGCUGGCCCUCACGGAUCGGCUCCUCUUAAAUGCAUUAGCUGAGCUUUUACUUGAUGCAAUGGUGUAAUAAUUAUCUUCACCGAUGUAACUAGUAAAAUAGGCUUGCUUCUAAUCGUCUCUUAAUCGAGACACUAUAAGAAAAAGGGUAACCUUUUCUUUGACUCUCUUGACCUCAAAUCAGGUAGGACUACCCGCUGAACUUAA
rnacentral:rRNA from 2 species